CAGAGCGGAAUUCAAAAGAGUUCAAAAGCAACUUGUGGGUAUUCAUCCCCACUAUGGUUUUUUCCAGUUGGGUUUCCACGUGAAAAAUAUGUGUGUCAUGUGUGAUGCUUUUAUCUUGUGAUGCUUUGUUUUUACCUGUUGAGCAUAUGAUGGUUCUAUGUUUUAUGCUUGUCUAUAAAACAUAUUGAACUCACUGAUAUGAAGAUCUGAUGUUAUUUUACUUGUUCAUGCAUGAGAGGGUAAUGGUACUAUAGUAUUGAGCUAAGAGGAAAGCUCAGCAAGCGACCGGUUUAUGACUGUUUGAGCUGUACUGGAUGUUACCGGUUGCACUCUAUUUUAACUAGUGUUGUUGUUUGUCAGUCAUUUGGAGUAUUUGCUGUCAAACCUAUUUUGGACUAUGUUUGUGUUUGUACUGAUUCACCCCCCCCUCUCAGUACCAGUUUGGUACUGGUGGUUCAUCAUUAAGUUAUCAGAUGAUUGUAUGCAUGUGUACAUGUGAACUUGUGAUGAAUUAUAAUCUUAUCAUUUUUCAUAUAGGAAAUAUCCAUAGCUACUUCAUCAAUGGCGAGCCCUCUUGCAUGUACUGGAGAAGCAUCUUAGGCUCUGAUAAUAACGACAAAUGCUCCAUCGAUGGCAAGCCCUCCUCACUCUAUUGGAGAAGCAUCUUAGGCCUCGGUUGGCCAUAACUUGGAGCCUUUGAAGAAGGUAUUCAAGAGAACUCCUAAGGUUGACUAGGAGAAGACAGAGAAGACAAUAGAUCCUAGAUCAACAGAUGAGCCAUCUACAAAGCCACAUACUGCAUCGAAGAGGCUCGAAUUUGAUAAUCCACCACAAACUUUAUAGGAUUAUAUAGUGUUAGUUAUGGUCAUUGAAUGACCAAUACAUGUAGAUAUAUUCUACAUUUUUAUUGUAUAUUGAUUUGGA